CUCGUACAAAUGGAAAGAAGAAACUGAAGGUAGGAUCGCGGGGCGAGCAAUGGGACCGAGGCAACUAUUUACAAAGUAGAAUUAGCAACUUCUACAUGAAUUUUCAAGUGGAUGAGAUCAAUUAACAAGUCUCAGUCAAGGAAGGCUAAAGAGUCAUGUGACAGGACACUGCCUAUUUGUAUCUGAUAAGCCAACAAAAUAGAGCCAAUUGGCCAAGAUGCUACAACCCAUUGCAGCACACAUGAUCCUUAUACCUUAACCAGGAUCAAAUGUCUAUCACCCAAAAUAUAACUCAAUAAUUUCAUAAGCAAAUUAAUGUAAUUAGCACAAAAACCUCCACCCCUAAGAAAACCCUGUGAAGUGGAAUAGACACAUGGGGGCAUCCCAUAUUCCACCAUCAACCAUACGUCCCACCAAUCAGAGAUUCAGAGAUUGUGCUACAUCAAAUGGGUACACCAUUCCCAAAUGGGGGUUGUUUAACACGUUUAUAAAUAGUGAUGCUUAGUUUAUACGCAAGCAUUCAACCUUAUGCAAAUGAUCACACUCGUGGAACCUGGACAUUUUCUGUAUCAUGUCUGGCCCAAUCAUAAGAGCAUGGAAGGAUAGGCACCCUAUCAAGUAUCAAGUCUAGAAUAUUCAUGAAUACAGCACUCUACAGCGUGACUGUAAAUUUCAAGCGUCUACAAUCAUGUGCACUAAGUUCAUCCCAAAGUAACUCUUCAACUAACCAAAUCCAAUAAAUUAUAGACAUACCAGAUACACAAGCUCAAUCUAACCAGAAACAAAUAUGAACAUAGCGACAUACUAGGAAAAGAAAAAGAAAAUUACAAAGACAAAACAACUCUACAACACGUAAUAAGAUUUCAAGUUUCUAACUUUAAAGGAUGCUAAAAAUGAAACAAUCAACAACUAUUCAAGAAAAAAAGAGGCCAAUAUCAUAUCUUAUUUCAACCCGGCACCAGAGCUUUCCAGCAACUAUAAAUCACCAAAAUCAUGAAUCUUGGGCACAAAACAUAAUCAACAAAACACAAAUUUAUGAAAACUUAAAAGCCAAGCAGAGAAAGAGAAGGAAAGAAAGAUAAUUUACUCCUGCUGGGAUCAAAGGGAAAUGUUGGAUUUGCAGAAGCGGGGAGAGUUUCGAUACAUGACGAGGACACCAGAGCAGGAGGGUCAACACGUAAUGAGGGCGACAGAGGUAGAGGCGAGGGAGGAAGAGUGAAAGGGCGUUUUAUUUGAAGUUCACCCAUUGAAUAUGUUAAGAAUAAAAAUCUCA
rnacentral:lncRNA from 1 species